rnacentral:misc_RNA from 1 species
UGAAGCUACAAUAAAGUUUUGUAACUAAGUUGCUCAUCUAAUAUAAGAUAUAUAUAUAUAUGUAUAAUUAUGUCUGACAAGACAACAAAAAGGAAGAGCAUGAAGAAGAGGUAACUCUCCUUUCCUUGCUCUGAUGGAAGUAUAACUCUGAACAAUUGCUGUUCUGCUCUUUACAUUUUCUUCAAACUCACUGCAGUUUGUAGCGUAAACCUUCGGCUCCAUCGAUCCAUUUGCCAUUUUUCCACCUUGCUUUUCUGAAAUCAGCAUGUUAGUGUUGUUCUUCACAAGCCACUGCUUUCUCUGCAUCACUAACAUCUGCCUUUCCAUUGCAGUCUUGUGUUUGUACUUCACUACUAUCUGAGUUGACUUUCUGAGAAACAGUUGAAUCACUAAGAGGACCAGUAUUUUCAGCAGGAAUGUUGUCAGUGGAUGAUGUUCCGGAGCCUGGAGGAAGGAAAACGCCAGUGCCAGGGAGUGGCAGUCGCGGUGGGGGAUGCCUAAUAGGGGGUACAGCCCAUCCAGCUGAGGCAGGUGGAAGGGCAACUGGUGCUGGAAAAGGCAUAGCUGGUGCAACCGUAGCGGGAACAAAAAUUGGCUGCAUAUUUGCAGGAGCAAACUGCGGACGAACACCUGGAAUAGGUAAUACACCAGUUGCUGGCAUGGAGCCAUAAUGCUUGGGCCCAAAAGGACGACGUAUAUGAUUUGAUGACCUGCUAGGAGGAACCCACUGGGAAACGGGACCUCCUGCUGAUGAAGGGAAACGUUGACUAUCACCAGACUUGAUUCUUCUCAGCUGUAACUUUGUAAAAGUAACAAGCAUUCGCUGCUUCCGGAUGGAUGGAAUUGCAUAUUUCGCAAAUUCAGUUGAUCUUCCCUGCAUUACAAGUACAGACCCUGGUGCAAGAGACAGUUUGAGAGAGCCUCGAUAAUCGCCUGGAUGAUCCACACCAAUCACCUUACCAAAAGUCAUUUCACAGUCUGUCAAGAACAGAGUAGAUAUUGGUCGUCCAUACCAAUAAGGCCAUAAAUGAGGCUGUGAGUGGUCCCCCUCAUUGAAGAUAUCAAUAACGCAAGCAUCCGGCUUCACAGACAAUGCUUGCAUAGCACUCAGUUGAUCAAUAACAUCUUGGAAAAGGCCAGGUAUUGCUUCCGUUUUCCGGUCUUUGUAUGUUGAAAUGGCAGAUUCUUCCUCGGGAGGUGCAUCUACAAUGGGAAGCCCCAACUGGACCAUCUCCCUUCCAUGGCCCUUCAUAGGUCUCUUUGAGACAAUAAAUGCCUGUGCAGGAAGCUGUCCCCUUCUACCAGCAGCUCUCAAAUCAUUUACCAAUGUAACCAGUUUUGACACUUCUGAACUGCUAAGCAAUUCCUCGUAAAGUUUCAUGCCAUCAACAACAUUAACCGGUUUUCCAUCGUAUAUCUCUGUAGCAACAAAAGUUUUUGGUACAACAUUCUGCUUCUCAGUUGGUAUUUGGAAGGAAUGGGAUUCGCUCUCCACAUUAGAAGACCCUUCAGAGUUUGAAUCACGUUUAUCAUCAGUUUUGUCUACUUCACCUUGUGAGUCACCAGCUUCUGUGCAAACUGAACCCUUCACUGAGCUAUUUGCUUCUGGUUUUGCAGCCAAUUCUUUCUUGUCCCCUUGCUUCUCUUCUACAACAUCAAUCUUUUCAACCCCAUUGGUUUUACUAUGAGCAUCCAAAGAAAAAUUCUGACCCUGACUCUCUUUUCCAUCUUUCAAUCCCUCACUUUUCCAACCCCCUCCUCCUCCUCCUUUAGACCCAUUCCUCUUUCCCACCUUAUUAACCCCUCCAUCAAAACCCUUUUGCUGCUUCAUCCAUUCCACCUGGUGUAAUGAAUAGAUCACCUCAGCCACUGAAUGAUACUGCUGCAUAUGGAGCACACUAUUCCAAUUAGCCCUCCUUUGUUGUACACACCCAAUCACUCCAUCAUACUCACCAGGUUCCCCUACUAACCUAAGAUGAUGACACAACGCAUCAAUUAUAGCAUUUGAUGCUGCGAAUUCCCCUCUUAACCACGAUAUAAACCCGUCCCUCUCAUCCACUUGCUGAGGAUGAAACCAUUGCUGUUGAUGCUGAUGCUGUCGCGGCACUGCCACCGCCUCUCCUCCUCCUCCAUUGCUGUGCUUUUUCUCCGGCACCGCCACCGCCACCGCAGCAUUUCCCGAUUGCAUUUCUUGAUCCUUAGUGAAUCAAUCAGAAAAUGUUACUAUCUACUAAUAUAAAUAUAUUUUCUAGUAUAUUAAACUAA